AAAUAAUUCUUAUUAGCAAACAAAUGCAUUAGAAUUAGAAUCUAAAUAAAAUUUA
rnacentral:tRNA from 2 species